rnacentral:lncRNA from 1 species
CUCUGGACAACCGGGAGAAUUGCAUUUUCUGAGGCCCACGAUAAGCACCCAACCGUUAAUAUUUCCAUGCUUCUCUGUCCAUCCCAUGGAGCCUGGGGCUUGAGGGACUGUGCAGUGAGGCAGCAACUCACAUCUCCAGCUGUUGGACUGGUCCUGCCAGCGACGUCUGCUCAGUAGAACAAGCAGCACUUCCCCCAGCUCAGCACUGUCUCAUUUCUGAGACUGAACACCCCGUGGUCACUCUACAUGGAUGGGUUAAUUUCCCUUGGAAAAGUAUUGAUGAUCAAGUGAUGCUAGCAGCAACAGUGUUAAAGGCUUUAACGCUUUUAAAGGUUAUUUAGCCACAUAGAGUGAAAUGCUGACCUUUCCUGAGGCAAUUUCAAUAGAAUGGUAGGGUGCGAGAUUGAAUGGAGGAGGAAGAGAAGAUGGGUGACACAGGCUUAAACUGAGACAAUCCAGCAUGGAACACUUGCAGGAAGUACUAGGAAAGUGCAUUUUCUUUCCAUGAGGGUUGCCAAACUGGAAGCAUGUUAGCUAAAGCUACCUGUAGUCAUUUUGUGGCCACAUUGGGUGAGAUUGUCUGAGAAAGCAAACCAACUGAAGCAGAGCAGAGAAGAUACUCUACCAACCUAGUUGGAGCCCUGGUUCCAGCCUUGCCUGAAGCUAAAUGCACCUCUAUGCUUCCUUUUUACUGACCCAAUAAAUUUCCCUAUUUGUUUAAACACCAGGCCCUGAUUAGGUUAUUGACAUUGGCCACAUCAGUGUCACAGAGUUUCUUCACAGCCUGUUUGAUCUGGCACUUGUUGGCUUUGGCAUCCACAGUGAACACAGGCAUGUGGUUGUCUUCUGUCUUCAUGGUGGACUCGGCAGUUGGGAGCCUGACGAUGGAUGGCAUGAUGGUCAAGCUUGUUUCUCCUGGGGGUGCUCUUCUGAAGACAUUUGAGCUGCCUCUGGAACCACAGUGUCUUGGGUCCCAGAAGGAAACUCCAAGGAACAGAGGAGCUCAGAGAAGACUAGAACUCUGUAUUCCGUACCCGUAAACAAUUUGUAUAAGCAAAAUAAAACUUUUUAACUUUCCUCAUCCCAAUCU